CUCUCCUCCUCCCGCCCCCGCGGCCGGGCGCCGUCCCCAGCCCCGGGCACGGCCUCCGCGGGGGGACAGGGGGGAGCUGCGCGGCCCCGGGGGCUUUCGGAGGCAGAGCCCAGGAGCGCAGAGCGCGGCGGAGGACGCGGGCAGGGCGGCGGCGAGGAGAGUACAAGAACGGCAGUGGAAACAGUCAUCCAAUACCAAGCUGAAAGCUGAGAGAAUGUGCUGGUGAAACAGGCAGUGACAGUGGAGUCAACAAAAAAAGACAAGAUCCAACAGCAGUAUGAAGUGACCGGAUGACACAAAAAGCCACACUUUGCAUGACAGCAAACAGCCAAUGGCCCAAGUCUCCAAAUGCUGUGGAGUUUGUGAGCAUGCUCAGUUAAAACACUGCUAGGCAUCCUCAAAGUAGUCUCAAGUAUGACAGCUUACCAUAAAGCAGGAACUACCAUUUAAGUUAUCAUUAAGUUAUCAUAAUUCAAAGCACAAGAAGUUCCUAAAUAAUAGUAAAGAAGCUUAUUUGUUUUUAAGAUAGAACAUAACUUCACUAGCCUACAUGUUUUAGCCUGCUUUGAUCAUCACAGGCUGCUCAGUGAAAACUGCAGGAAGGUUAAGUCCAAGGAGCACACAGGGAUCCUAAGCACACACGGUGCACAAGAAAGUUGAUGUAGCGUGAACUGCAGAGCUGUCAUUUAGAAGCUGUUUAGUAAAGCAGGAAUUGUACUUACUAUCAAAAUACACAAAAACAGUUCAAGAUAUUAUUUAGUAGACAUUUGCAGAAGCAAUAUAAGCCAUACAGAUAAUCCGUGUACUGUAGUAACACAAGCUAAAGAACAGGCACAAAUUCUCUGGUGCAUUAACAGCAAAACAGUUGUUGGCUAGAAGUUACUAAUCUUAGUUAAGAAUAUCUUGCUGGGUUACAGAACAGAUUCAUGAAUUCCUACAAGCAUUAGUUCUACAGCUGCUUCUGACAAACUCUCUGCAAACUACAUGUCAAGUAGAUUGCUGAGGGAAAGAAAGGGAAAAGGCAGUGGCAAGGUCACCUCAGUUUGGCUGCUGUUACCUGUCUUCAAGCAAACGUGGACCAAGAGAUGACUCCAUGAAGAUGGAAUCUUCUACAAAGCUGACGGCGUGCACCUGAUGCAUAAUACUGCUCUCCUCGUCUGCUAACAGCAUGGCACCCAACUCAUCUAUGUGGGGUCUUAACCUUUUCACACACAUGCACAGUUUGCAGUUCACAGCAUGGCUCAACAAUAGUAAGUAUCUCAAAUAAGAGCAAAUGUCAAAGCCCAAAGAAUUUAUCAUUUUUACCCAUCUAACUUCUGAUUCUUGUGCAGUUGUUAAAAACUUACUGCUUGGGAGAAAACAGAAAUAAAUAAGUGGAGUUUGUA